CAAAAACAUGUCUUUUUGAUUAUAAUUUAAAGUCUAACCUGCCCAAUGAGGAGUUAAAUGGCCGCGGUAUUUUGACCGUGCAAAGGUAGCAUAAUCAUUAGUUUUUUAAUUGAAAGCUGGUAUGAAUGGUUGGACGAGAAAAUAACUGUCUCAAUUUAAAUUAAAUUAGAAUUUUAUUUAUGAGUAAAAAAGCUCAUAUAAGUUUAAAAGACGAGAAGACCCUAUAGAAUUUAAUAUUUAUAUGUAUAUAUUAUUUUUAGAAUUAAUAAUAAGUUAUAUAUAUUUAUAUUUUGUUGGGGUGAUAGAAAAAUUUAAAUAACUUUUUUUAUAUAAAAACAUUAAUGCAUGAGAAAGUGAUCCGUUAAUUACGAUUAUAAGAUUAAAUUACCUUAGGGAUAACAGCGUAAUUUUUUUUUAGAGUUCUUAUCGAAAAAAGAGUUUGCGACCUCGAUGUUGGAUUAAAAUUAACUUUUGGUGUAGGGGCU
rnacentral:rRNA from 1 species